AUAACUCCAAAACUGUAGA
rnacentral:sRNA from 1 species